GACGCUGGCGGCAGGCUUAACCAUGCAAGGUCGAGCGGGGGAAGGUAGCUUGCUACCGGACCUAGCGGCGGACGGGUGAGUAAUGCUUAGGAAUCUGCCUAUUAGUGGGGGACAACAUCUCGAAAAGGGAUGCUAAUACCGCAUACGUCCUACGGGAGAAAGCAGGGGAUCUUCGGGACCUUGCGCUAAUAAGAUGAGCCUAAAGUCGGAUUAGCUAGUUGGUGGGGUAAAGGCCUACCAAGGCGACGAUCUGUAGCGGUCUGAGAGGAUGAUCCGCCACACUGGGGACUGAGACACGGCCCAGACUCCUACGGGAGGCAGAGUGGGGAAUAUUGGCAAUUGGGGGGAACCUGAUCCAGCCAUGCCCGUGUGUGAAGAAGCCUUAUGGUUUAAAGCACUUUAAGCGAGGAGAGGUACUUAGUUAUACUAAAGAUAGGGNCUUACCCCAGAUAANACGGUACCUGUCAACCGGAAA
rnacentral:rRNA from 1 species